rnacentral:tRNA from 1 species
GGCGUCGUGGCGGAGUGGCUACGCAGCGGUCUGCAAAACCGUGUACACGGGUUCGAAUCCCGUCGAUGCCUCCA